UGGGGAAUUUUGGACAAUGGGCGAAAGCCUGAUCCAGCAAUGCCGCGUGUGUGAAGAAGGCCUUCGGGUUGUAAAGCACUUUUGUCCGGAAAGAAAUCCUUGGCUCUAAUACAGUCGGGGGAUGACGGUACCGGAAGAAUAAGCACCGGCUAACUACGUGCCAGCAGCCGCGGUAAUACGUAGGGUGCAAGCGUUAAUCGGAAUUACUGGGCGUAAAGCGUGCGCAGGCGGUUUGCUAAGACCGAUGUGAAAUCCCCGGGCUCAACCUGGGAACUGCAUUGGUGACUGGCAGGCUAGAGUAUGGCAGAGGGGGGUAGAAUUCCACGUGUAGCAGUGAAAUGCGUAGAGAUGUGGAGGAAUACCGAUGGCGAAGGCAGCCCCCUGGGCCAAUACUGACGCUCAUGCACGAAAGCGUGGGGAGCAAACAGGAUUAGUACCCUGGUAGUCCACGCCCUAAACCGAUGUCAACUAGUUNUUGGGGAUUCAUUUCCUUAGUAACGUAGCUAACGCGUGAAGUUGACC
rnacentral:rRNA from 1 species